rnacentral:lncRNA from 1 species
AGCCUCCUUGUUCACUUAUUCACCAAGUCAAGUACCAAUCUUUGAAGGUGAGCACUAUGAAUAUUGGAGUAGUCAAAUGCAAACUUUCUUCAUCUCUUUAGAUUUAUGGGAUGUCAUUGAAGAAGAUGAGGUGGUAGAAGAUUCGACCGAAGGAGAUGAAGAAGAUCCAAAGUUACAAAAGGAAUAUAAAAAGAAAGAUGCAAUGGCGUUGUGAUAUAUUCAACAAGGAGUUGGA